GGGAUAGCUUUUGAAGAUGUGUGACACUGAUGUACUUGAUGGACAGGAUGGAGUUGGCUGAGGCCUUGGGGCACCAAGAUGGAGAUUGUUGGGCUUCAUGUGGUGCUCUCAAUGCUUAGGGGAUCAAGGCUAAGGCCAUGGUCCAAAGUCCAUGAGGUGUUCAUGGGAUUUUUAGGAUUAGUUUGGGUCCUAGGAUGAAAGGCUGUCAACCUUUCAGAUAUUGAAGUUCAGGACACUUGAGCCUCAAGGAGCUAACUUGUUUUGGACUAGAUUUAAGUCCUAGGUAGAUGAGAUUUGUUCAAAUCAUGGGUGUAAAUGGGUUUGGGUUAGCACAAAUCUCAUAUCAAGUUAGUCAAGGAAGUUUUGUGGUUGGAUCACAUUGAUCUUGUAUAAAUACCUUGGUAUUUAGGUUUUGUAUGA
rnacentral:lncRNA from 1 species